CAGCCGCCGCGGUAAUACCGGCGGCCCGAGUGGCGGUCACUAUUAUUGGGCUUAAAGCGUCCGUAGCCGGGUUGGGAAGUCCUCCGGGAAAUCUGGCCGCUUAACGGUCAGAAUGCCGGAGGAUACUCCCAGCCUAGGGAGCGGGAGAGGCCGAGGGUAUUCCCGGAGUAGGGGUGAAAUCCUAUAAUCCCGGGAGGACCACCUGUGGGGAAGGCGCUCGGCUGGAACGCGUCCGACGGUGAGGGACGAAGGCCAGGGGAGCAAACCGGAUUAGAUACCCGGGUAGUCCUGGCUGUAAACGAUGCGGACUUUGUGUCGGACAAGCUAUGAGCUUGUCCGGUGCCGGAGGGAAACCGUUAAGUCCGCCGCCUGGGGAGUACGGCCGCAAGGCUGAAACUUAAAGGAAUUGGCGGG
rnacentral:rRNA from 1 species